rnacentral:rRNA from 1 species
UAGGGAAUAUUGGACAAUGGGCGCAAGCCUGAUCCAGCCAUGCCGCGUGAGUGAAGAAGGCCCUCGGGUUGUAAAGCUCUUUUGUUGGGGAAGAAAAGCAGUUGGUUAAUACCCGAUUGUUCUGACGGUACCCAAAGAAUAAGCACCGGCUAACUUCGUGCCAGCAGCCGCGGUAAUACGAAGGGUGCAAGCGUUACUCGGAAUUACUGGGCGUAAAGCGUGCGUAGGUGGUUGUUUAAGUCUGAUGUGA